AUCGCUGCGACCAAUAUGACAACAGUGCUGCCACCUGUGUGUGCACCUGGAUGCUAGUGAACCAUGGGGAAAGUGGGCGGGGCUUACUAGUGGAUCCUGUGAUGUCAUUAUUGCAAUUAACUAUCUGCAGUACAGUUCCUCUAAGACAGCACAGGGUGUUUUCAAUGGUGUAGGUCAGGUAAUAAAACAAAAUGGCCUACUGGUAAUCUAUGGGGUGUUUGCGAUUUAAUGAAUUCCUAGAUGAAGAACUACGCAAAGUGAAUCCCGAAUGGGGACUUCCAGAUGUGGACGUGCUCCGGCAGCUGGCCUAUGGGAAUGGCAUCCGUAUGGAGAGAAUGGUGGACAUGGAAGACUGCUACAAAUGUCUCAUCUUCAGAAAAAUAUAGAAAUGCAUUCAUGUAUAAUUAGCCAAACUUGUGACUCUUUGGGAGAAAAAAAAAAUGACACAGGUGGAUAAUAAGUAUCAGAUAUUAAAUAUAAAUUUAAAAUGACUUGCGAGCCCGACAGACGGGUAUGAUGGCGUAAAGGAUCAGUUAAAAGCAAUGGAUUUAAUACAGCCAAAAGCAGUUCCACUCAUCCUUGUGCACAUUUAGCAUACAUGUGCAAAGACAGGCACACUAACAAAUAAUUACAGUUUAAGAGGCCCUUUUUCAUGAUUUACAUUAUGAUUUAUUUGUAUUCUCUGUAUAGCUUCAGUGGUUCAACCAUGAAUCCAUAACUAUUUUUAAAUAUUGAAAACACUUUACAACGAAGAAAAGUGGAACAGACAAGCGGAAUGUUAAGCUGUGAUCCUGAAGAUGUGUUAGUGCUGUUCGUUCCAAGCCCCUCCCUUCCUUAAAGACACACGCGUGUCUUUCAAACACCUCUCAGUCAAAAAAUAAAGUGUUCAGACAGGGUCCAC